GGGGGGGGUACUGUUAGGUUGGGGUUCUUUUUCCUGUUUUAUUUUGUUUUCUUUUCCUCUUCUGUCCUGGGUUUUUUCUGGAAAGCUGCGUUUCCUUUUACAGCCAUGAGAUGUCACCAGUGAGCGGAGCCCCUGGAGAAGUGUGGCGGCCAACCUGUAGACGCACCUGUGUCUAAUUUUCGAGAGCUGCGGAGGUGCUUCAUAAGGACAGCCUAGCUGACACUCCAGUGCCUGAGUGUUUGCCUUCACUGAUUUCCUUGUGAUCGCCCUGUGACUCCUGGAUGUGGACAAGCGCUCCCCCCUGGAUUUCCUUGUGUUCCUCACGACGCCAUUGGUAUUACCAAUCGGUUGCCUUCCUCCGUGCACUUACCUCCCUGGUCCCUCCCCGUGGAUCCUCUGUGCCUCGCCAUCGGCUGAGCCUGCCAGCGUUUCAUGUUCCGGGAGCUAACUGUCGAAGCCCCGCUCGGAAGUCAACUCACUCUGCUCUCCAGCUGCAAGGCUUACCUGCUCGCUCUCCGACGGUAACUCACUUCUCCAGCCGCCACCAUUGACAAUACUACCUCCGCAUUCAAGUAAGCAUCCUACGAAAGAUUCUCAGAAUUAUUCCAUUUGACCCAUCCCGUGUCUCACUCCGCUUUUUCUCAUAUACAGUCUGACGACCAGUUUCCUCCAGUCCCAGGUUCCAGAACUAUUUCCCCUGACCCCUCUUCCUUUCACCAAAAUAAAUAUUAUUGUUGUUUCA